rnacentral:rRNA from 1 species
AGAGUUUGAUCCUGGCUCAGGACGAACGCUGGCGGCGUGCCUAAUACAUGCAAGUAGAACGCUGAAGAGAGGAGCUUGCUCUUCUUGGAUGAGUUGCGAACGGGUGAGUAACGCGUAGGUAACCUGCCUUGUAGCGGGGGAUAACUAUUGGAAACGAUAGCUAAUACCGCAUAACAAUGGGUGACACAUGUCAUUUAUUUGAAAGGGGCAAUUGCUCCACUACAAGAUGGACCUGCGUUGUAUUAGCUAGUAGGUGAGGUAAUGGCUCACCUAGGCGACGAUACAUAGCCGACCUGAGAGGGUGACCGGCCACACUGGGACUGAGACACGGCCCAGACUCCUACGGGAGGCAGCAGUAGGGAAUCUUCGGCAAUGGGGGCAACCCUGACCGAGCAACGCCGCGUGAGUGAAGAAGGUUUUCGGAUCGUAAAGCUCUGUUGUAAGUCAAGAACGAGUGUGAGAGUGGAAAGUUCACACUGUGACGGUAGCUUACCAGAAAGGGACGGCUAACUACGUGCCAGCAGCCGCGGUAAUACGUAGGUCCCGAGCGUUGUCCGGAUUUAUUGGGCGUAAAGCGAGCGCAGGCGGUUUGAUAAGUCUGAAGUUAAAGGCUGUGGCUCAACCAUAGUUCGCUUUGGAAACUGUCAAACUUGAGUGCAGAAGGGGAGAGUGGAAUUCCAUGUGUAGCGGUGAAAUGCGUAGAUAUAUGGAGGAACACCGGUGGCGAAAGCGGCUCUCUGGUCUGUAACUGACGCUGAGGCUCGAAAGCGUGGGGAGCGAACAGGAUUAGAUACCCUGGUAGUCCACGCCGUAAACGAUGAGUGCUAGGUGUCGGGGAGGAAUCCUCGGUGCCGCAGCUAACGCAAUAAGCACUCCACCUGGGGAGUACGACCGCAAGGUUGAAACUCAAAGGAAUUGACGGGGGCCC